AUCUUCGGAGUCCUGAGUAAACUGGCGAACGGGUGAGUAACACGUAGGUAACUUACCCAUGGGACAGGGAUAACCUUGCUAACGCGGGGCUAAUACGUGAUAAUAUUUUUUUAUCGCAUGAUAAAAAAAUCAAAGAUGCCUUCGGGUAGUGCCCAUGGAUGGACCUGCGCCCCAUUAGCUUGUUGGUAGGGUAAUGGCCUACCAAGGCGACGAUGGGUAGCCGGCCUGAGAGGGUGACCGGCCACACUGGGACUGAGAUACGGCCCAGACUCCUACGGGAGGCAGCAGUGAGGAAUAUUGCGCAAUGGGCGAAAGCCUGACGCAGCAACGCCGCGUGGAUGAUGAAGCUCUAAGGAGUGUAAAGUCCUGUUAGGAGGGAAGAAUAGUCAAUGUGCGAAUAGUGCAUUGAUUUGACGGUACCUCCAGAGAAAGCCCCGGCUAACUCCGUGCCAGCAGCCGCGGUAAUACGGCGGGGGCGAGCGUUGUCCGGAAUCAUUGGGCGUAAAGAGCGCGUAUGCGGGAUGGUAAGUCAGAGGUGAAAACCAUAGGCUCAACCUAUGGCCUGACUUUGAAACUGUCAUUCUUG
rnacentral:rRNA from 1 species